rnacentral:ncRNA from 1 species
CCUAACCAUAUGGUUAGGCCACACGUCAGUUUAUUACGACUUUAUUUAGAUUUAUUUUAAGUCAUAAAAUACAGAAAAUUCUUACGAGAAUUUUCAGUGAACAGAAUCUAGGAGAUUCUGCGAAUUGAUAAAUUGGCUACAACGU